rnacentral:rRNA from 1 species
UACGUAGGGGGCAAGCGUUGUCCGGAAUCAUUGGGCGUAAAGGGUGCGUAGGUGGCGCCGUAAGUCGGGUGUGAAAUUUCGGAGCUUAACUCCGAAACUGCAUUCGAUACUGCGGUGCUUGAGGACUGGAGAGGAGACUGGAAUUCAUGGUGUAGCAGUGAAAUGCGUAGAGAUCAUGAGGAAGACCAGUGGCGAAGGCGGGUCUCUGGACAGUUCCUGACACUGAGGCACGAAGGCCAGGGGAGCAAACGGG